UUGGACAUGGGCGAAGCCUGAUCCAGCCAUGCCGCGUGUGUGAAGAAGGUCUUCGGAUUGUAAAGCACUUUAAGUUGGGAGGAAGGGCAGUAAGUUAAUACCUUGCUGUUUUGACGUUACCAACAGAAUAAGCACCGGCUAACUUCGUGCCAGCAGCCGCGGUAAUACGAAGGGUGCAAGCGUUAAUCGGAAUUACUGGGCGUAAAGCGCGCGUAGGUGGUUCAGCAAGUUGGAGGUGAAAUCCCCGGGCUCAACCUGGGAACUGCCUCCAAAACUACUGAGCUAGAG
rnacentral:rRNA from 1 species